rnacentral:rRNA from 1 species
UGGAGCCUGCGGUUUAAUUGGAGUUCAACGCCGGAAAUCUCACCGGGGCGACAGCAAUAUGAAGGUCAGGCUGAAGACCUUACCCGAUUAGCUGAGAGGUGGUGCAUGGCCGUCGUCAGUUCGUACUGUGAAGCAUCCUGUUAAGUCAGGCAACGAGCGAGACCCACGUCCACAGUUGCCAGCAUACCCUCCGGGGUGAUGGGUACACUGUGGAGACCGCCGCUGCUAAAGCGGAGGAAGGAGUGGGCAACGGUAGGUCAGUAUGCCCCGAAUCUCCCGGGCUACACGCGGGCUACAAUGGUUGGUACAAUGGGCAUCUACCCCGAAAGGGGAAGGAAAUCUCUUAAAGCCAAUCGUAGUUCGGAUUGAGGGCUGCAACUCGCCCUCAUGAAGCUGGAAUCCGUAGUAAUCGCGUUUCAACAGAACGCGGUGAAUACGUCCCUGCUCCUU